rnacentral:ncRNA from 1 species
UUAGGCACGCAGGGGAGUCCCGCUUAGGGGACUGAGAGGCUGACAGGGGACGUUCCAAAGUGGACACCCCCGGUGAUGCGACCCUUUGAACCUGACCCAGUUGACACUGGCGUAGGAAGCUAGGCGCGACCCGGG